GAUGAACGCUGGCGGCGUGCCUAAUACAUGCAAGUCGAGCGAACAGAUGAGGAGCUUGCUCCUCUGACGUUAGCGGCGGACGGGUGAGUAACACGUGGAUAACCUACCUAUAAGACUGGGAUCACUUCGAGAAACCGGAGCUAAUACCGGAUAAUAUAUUGAACCGCAUGGUUCAAUAGUGAAAGACGGUUUUGCUGUCACUUAUAGAUGGAUCCGCGCCGCAUUAGAUAGUUGGUAAGGUAACGGCUUACCAAGGCAACGAUGCGUAGCCGACCGGAGAGGGUGAUAGGCCACACUGGAGCUGAGACAGGGUCCAGACUACUACGGGAGGGAGCAGUAGGGAAUCUUCCGCAAUGGGCGAAAGCCUGACGGAGCAACGCCGCGUGAGUGAUGAAGGUCUUCGGAGCGUAAAACUCUGUUAUUAGGGAAGAACAAAUGUGUAAGUAACUAUGCACGUCUUGACGGUACCUAAUCAGAAAGCAACGGCUAACUACGUG
rnacentral:rRNA from 1 species